UACAGAGGGUGCGAGCGUUAAUCGGAAUUACUGGGCGUAAAGCGCACGUAGGUGGCGACGUAAGUCGGGUGUGAAAGCCCCGGGCUCAACCUGGGAAUUGCAUUCGAGACUGCAUUGCUGGAGUACGGAAGAGGAGGGCGGAAUUCCCGGUGUAGCGGUGAAAUGCGUAGAUAUCGGGAGGAACAUCAGUGGCGAAGGCGAGUCUCUGGGAUGAUGCUGACGCUGAGGCGCGAAAGCCAGGGGAGCAAACGGG
rnacentral:rRNA from 1 species